rnacentral:rRNA from 1 species
AGUCGAACGGCAGCACGGGGGCAACCCUGGUGGCGAGUGGCGAACGGGUGAGUAAUACAUCGGAACGUGUCCUGUAGUGGGGGAUAGCCCGGCGAAAGCCGGAUUAAUACCGCAUACGCUCUGCGGAGGAAAGCGGGGGAUCCUUCGGGACCUCGCGCUACAGGGGCGGCCGAUGGCAGAUUAGCUAGUUGGUGGGGUAAAGGCCUACCAAGGCGACGAUCUGUAGCUGGUCUGAGAGGACGACCAGCCACACUGGGACUGAGACACGGCCCAGACUCCUACGGGAGGCAGCAGUGGGGAAUUUUGGACAAUGGGCGAAAGCCUGAUCCAGCAAUGCCGCGUGUGUGAAGAAGGCCUUCGGGUUGUAAAGCACUUUUGUCCGGAAAGAAAACCUCCGCCCUAAUACGGUGGGGGGAUGACGGUACCGGAAGAAUAAGCACCGGCUAACUACGUGCCAGCAGCCGCGGUAAUACGUAGGGUGCAAGCGUUAAUCGGAAUUACUGGGCGUAAAGCGUGCGCAGGCGGUCCGCUAAGACAGAUGUGAAAUCCCCGGGCUUAACCUGGGAACUGCAUUUGUGACUGGCGGGCUAGAGUAUGGCAGAGGGGGGUAGAAUUCCACGUGUAGCAGUGAAAUGCGUAGAGAUGUGGAGGAAUACCGAUGGCGAAGGCAGCCCCCUGGGCCAAUACUGACGCUCAUGCACGAAAGCGUGGGGAGCAAACAGGAUUAGAUACCCUGGUAGUCCACGCCCUAAACGAUGUCAACUAGUUGUCGGGUCUUCAUUGACUUGGUAACGUAGCUAACGCGUGAAGUUGACCGCCUGGGGAGUACGGUCGCAAGAUUAAAACUCAAAGGAAUUGACGGGGACCCGCACAAGCGGUGGAUGAUGUGGAUUAAUUCGAUGCAACGCGAAAAACCUUACCUACCCUUGACAUGUAUGGAAUCCUGCCGAGAGGUGGGAGUGCCCGAAAGGGAGCCAUAACACAGGUGCUGCAUGGCUGUCGUCAGCUC